rnacentral:lncRNA from 1 species
CCUCUCCCAACGGAGUUAACCGACCGUUGCGGCCUCCGCGUCUUCGCUUGCUCUUAAUUUUUUUCUUGAUCUCUUCUCUAGGAUUUGUUUCAUGUUGCUUGGUCAAUUCUCCCCCCGCCCCGCCCCGCCCCCGCCGCCCUCCAUUACUAGGAACUGUGGGGGGGGUGGGGGUUUUCAAUUCUGUGUUCAUCUUCUUUCCCGAGAGUUAAUGGAAGAAAUCUGACAGUUACAAAGAGACCCCCGCCCCUUCCCGCUCCUCCCCGGGGGGACGACCGCUAGGGUUAGGGUUUCCGCCCCCACCCCCUUCCCGGGGAUACCGCCGCCGGCCCCGCUCCGCCCUUCGAAAGUAUCGGCCUCCCGUGACCGUCCCUCCACAUGGUGAUAGCCCAAACACAUGGGAGGCGGCGACGUGUCCGCUGUCACGAUGUGCCCGCCUGUGGCCGCUCUGGCCCGGGCGGGCUUGGCGCCGCGCUGGCAGGGGACAAAACCCCGGACUUUAAUCUUCUUCGCUCCUCACCUGAGAUUGAGAUCUCAUAUUUCUUUAACCGCCUCCUCCAUCGCCGCCGCCGCCCCUCGCCGGCAGGGCUGGCAGCCGGAGCAGGAGGAUGGUGGGGCCUUUUGAAUGCUCUCCCCUCUGUCAGUACUCGCCUGCCAUUUGCUGGACGGUUUCGAGGCCUUGUCUCUUCCCGCGCCGCUCACAUGCGCAGCCUGGCCGUAGCGGUCUACCACCACUCCCACUGCCGCGCGCACCGGCCAUGCCACGCGAAAAGCCUGGUCUCCUCCCUCGUGGGGGGAAAAAACAGACGGAAUGCGGCAUCGGGCACAGCUGUCUCGAGGGCCCUUCUGCCUCCUCCCGGGCAGCGGCGCCAACAUUCUCCGAGAUCUGCAAAACAACGCAUGGAGAUGAGUGAAUGGCCGAUAGAAUUCCGAGGGAUGUUAACAAAUGAGGUCGGGAGAUGCGCACCAGCGGACCCCUUCUCCUUCCUCGUACGAGCUGGCGGCACCCCCCCCCUCCUCCCUCUCCCUGCC